rnacentral:rRNA from 1 species
CAUAGCGACUAUCGUGGCAUAUCAAUAAGCGGAGGAAAAGAAACUAACUAGGAUUCCCUUAGUAACGGCGAGUGAAGCGGGAAGAGCUCAAAUUUGAAAUCUUCAAGGUUCUACCUUGACGAAUUGUAGUUUAAAGAAGUGUUUUCUGUUGGAGUUUUGGUAAAAGUUCUUUGGAAUAGGACAUCAUAGAGGGUGAGAAUCCCGUAUUUGACCAUUUCUUCCAGCUGUGUGAUACACUUUCAAAGAGUCGGAUUGUUUGGGAAUGCAGUCCAAAAUGGGUGGUAAAUUUCAUCUAAAGCUAAUAUUGGCGAGAGACCGAUAGCGAACAAGUACCGUGAGGGAAAGAUGAAAAGAACUUUGAAAAGAGAGUUAAACAGUACGUGAAAUUGUCAAAAGGGAAGCGUUUGACACCAGUGUUGUUUUCUCGAAAAUCAAUUAAAAAUGGCCGGAUUUUGUGUUGUAUUGACUUUAUCAGCUUUCUGCACUUUUUUCUUGUCUUUUUUAAUGCACUUUUCGUUUAACAAGUCAACAUCAAUUUCUUUUGUUGUAAAAGAGUCAUUGGAAGGUGGCUUUCAUUUCGGUGAAAGUGUUUAUAGCCUUUGACUUCUGCAAUCGGAGAGAUUGAUGUCUGCAGCGUAGAUCCUUCGGGGUUAGAUACAUUUGUGCUAAGUUAUAGUUUUUCAUAGACAACAUGUUGACUAUGAUUAAUCAUGUAGCUUACUCGCUUAUGCUAUUUUACCUACGCUUAGGAUGUUGAUAUGCAUGACUGAUAU